CAUGUACUCCCUCCGUUCCGAAUUACUUGUCGCAGAUAUGGAUGUAUCUAGAUGUAUUUUAGUUCUAGAUACAUCCAUUUCUGUGACGAGUAAUUUGGAACGGAGGGAGUAUUGU
rnacentral:pre_miRNA from 1 species